rnacentral:rRNA from 1 species
GUUCAGCCCCCUUGGACUGGAACCCGCCCUGACUCUUACGGGAGGCAGCAGUGGGGAUAUUGCACAACGGGCGCAAGCCUGAUGCAACCAUGCCGCGUGUUGAAGAAGGCCUUAGGGUUGUAAAGUACUCUCAGCGGGGAGGAAGUGAUAAAGUUAAUACCUUUAUCAAUUGACGUUACCCGCAGAAGAAGCACCGGCUAACUCCGUGCCAGCAGCCGCGGUAAUACGGAGUGUGCAAGCGUUAAUCGGAAUUACUGGGCGUAAAGCGCACGCAGGCGGUCAAUUAAGUCAGAUGUGAAAGCCCCGAGCUUAACUUGGGAAUUGCAUCUGAAACUGGUUGGCUAGAGUCUUGUAGAGGGCGGUAGAAUUCCACGUGUAGCGGUGAAAUGCGUAGAGAUGUGGAGGAAUACCGGUGGCGAAGGCGGCCCCCUGGACAAAGACUGACGCUCAGGUGCGAAAGCGUGGGGAGCAAACAGGAUUAGAUACCCUGGUAGUCCACGCUGUAAACGAUGUCGAUUUAGAGGUUGUGGUCUUGAACUGUGGCUUCUGGAGCUAACGCGUUAAAUCGACCGCCUGGGGAGUACGGCCGCAAGGUUAAAACUCAAAUGAAUUGACGGGGGCCCGCACAAGCGGUGGAGCAUGUGGUUUAAUUCGAUGCAACGCGAAGAACCUUACCUACUCUUGACAUCCAGCGAAUCCUUUAGAGAUAGAGGAGUGCCUUCGGGAACGCUGAGACAGGUGCUGCAUGGCUGUCGUCAGCUCGUGUUGUGAAAUGUUGGGUUAAGUCCCGCAACGAGCGCAACCCUUAUCCUUUGUUGCCAGCGCGUAAUGGCGGGAACUCAAAGGAGACUGCCGGUGAUAAACCGGAGGAAGGUGGGGAUGACGUCAAGUCAUCAUGGCCCUUACGAGUAGGGCUACACACGUGCUACAAUGGCAGAUACAAAGAGAAGCGACCUCGCGAGAGCAAGCGGAACUCAUAAAGUCUGUCGUAGUCCGGAUUGGAGUCUGCAACUCGACUCCAUGAAGUCGGAAUCGCUAGUAAUCGUAGAUCAGAAUGCUACGGUGAAUACGUUCCCGGGCCUUGUACACACCGCCCGUCACACCAUGGGAGUGGGUUGCAAAAGAAGUAGGUAGCUUAACCUUCGGGAGGGCGCUACCAC